UUUGCUACAUAUUUUUACUCCGAUAAAGAGAUCUAUUUUUAAGCGAUGGAACGUACUGGCCAAAAAUUCAGCAUAGUUACCAUGGGUUAAAAUGAUUUGACAGUUUAAGCACAAUGCAAAAAAAAAAAUUUUCAUUUUUCAUUGACAUUCAUUGACAUGCAUUGACCUUGACCUACAUCUCAAUUUCCUUAUCUGCAACGGAGUACCUUAUCGGGAAUAACAUAACAGUAUUAUACAAUAUACAAGUGUUCACCACUAGUUUAACAAGAUAAAAAUAAACUGUAUGACUUACCUAUGUGACCAGACGCCCAGCAUGCCCACUGUGCAAGGACAUAUGUAACAUCAUUUGGGCACAGGAAAACAAUUCGUUCUUGAGUUUUAUUAACUCCAAGCUUUCCUUGAAUCUUUCUAGCCAGCAAUAAGCUUUUUCGUAAGAUUUCUUGAUAA